rnacentral:rRNA from 1 species
UUCCGGUUGAUCCUGCCGGAGGUCAUUGCUAUUGGAGUCCGAUUUAGCCAUGCUAGUUGCACGAGUUCAGACUCGUAGCAGAUAGCUCAGUAACACGUGGCCAAACUACCCUACAGAGCACGAUAACCUCGGGAAACUGAGGCUAAUAGUGCAUACGGCUCGCUACCUGGAAAUGGUACGAGCUCGAAACGCCCCGGCGCUGUAGGAUGUGGCUGCGGCCGAUUAGGUAGACGGUGGGGUAACGGCCCACCGUGCCAGUAAUCGGUACGGGUUGUGAGAGCAAGAGCCCGGAGACGGUAUCUGAGACAAGAUACCGGGCCCUACGGGGCGCAGCAGGCGCGAAACCUUUACACUGCACGCCAGUGCGAUAAGGGGACUCCAGGUGCGAGGGCAUAUAGUCCUCGCUUUUGUACACCGUAAGGUGGUGUACGAAUAAGUGCUGGGCAAGACCGGUGCCAGCCGCCGCGGUAAUACCGGCAGCACGAGUGAUGACCGCUAUUAUUGGGCCUAAAGCGUCCGUAGCUGGCCAGUCAAGUCCAUCGGGAAAUCUCUCCGCCUAACGGAGAGGCGUCCUGUGGAAACUGUCUGGCUUGGGACCGGAAGACCAGAGGGGUACGUCCGGGGUAGGAGUGAAAUCCCGUAAUCCUGGACGGACCACCGGUGGCGAAAGCGCCUCUGGAGGACGGAUCCGACGGUGAGGGACGAAAGCUCGGGUCACGAACCGGAUUAGAUACCCGGGUAGUCCGAGCUGUAAACGAUGUCUGCUAGGUGUGACACAGGCUACGAGCCUGUGUUGUGCCGUAGGGAAGCCGUGAAGCAGACCGCCUGGGAAGUACGUCCGCAAGGAUGAAACUUAAAGGAAUUGGCGGGGGAGCACUACAACCGGAGGAGCCUGCGGUUUAAUUGGAUUCAACGCCGGA